rnacentral:rRNA from 1 species
CGGACGGGUGAGUAACGCGUGAGAAUCUGCCUUUAGGAGGGGGACAACAAAUCGAAAGAUCUGCUAAUACCCCAUAUGUCAUUAGAUGAAAUGAAUUUAUUCGCCUAAAGAGGAGCUCGCGGCUGAUUAGCUAGUUGGUAAGGUAAUGGCUUACCAAGGCGACGAUCAGUAACUGGUUUGAGAGGAUGAUCAGUCACACUGGAACUGAGACACGGUCCAGACUCCUACGGGAGGCAGCAGUGGGGAAUUUUCCGCAAUGGGCGAAAGCCUGACGGAGCAAUACCGCGUGAGGGAUGAAGGCUUACUGAGUUGUAAACCUCUUUUUUCAAGGAAGAAGUUCUGACGUUACUUGAAGAAUAAGCAUCGGCUAACUCCGUGCCAGCAGCCGCGGUAAGACGGAGGAUGCAAGUGUUAUCCGGAAUCACUGGGCGUAAAGCGUCUGCAGGUGGUUUUUAAGUCUGAUGUUAAAACUUGAGGCUCAACCUCAAUCCAGCAUUGGAAACUGAAAGACUAGAGUAUAGUAGGGAUAGAGGGAAUUUCCAGUGGAGCGGUGAAAUGCGUAGAUAUUGGAAAGAACACCGAUGGCGAAAGCACUCUAUUGGACUAUUACUGACACUCAGAGACGAAAGCUAGGGGAGCAAAUGGGAUUAGAUACCCCAGUAGUC